rnacentral:rRNA from 1 species
CACGUAGGGCGCAAGCGUUGUCCGGAAUUAUUGGGCGUAAAGAGCUCGUAGGCGGUCUGUUGCGUCCGCUGUGAAAACUCGGGGCUUAACCCCGAGCCUGCAGUGGAUACGGGCAGACUAGAGGUAGGUAGGGGAGAAUGGAAUUCCCGGUGUAGCGGUGAAAUGCGCAGAUAUCGGGAGGAACACCGGUGGCGAAGGCGGUUCUCUGGGCCUUACCCUGACGCUGAGGAGCGAAAGCGUGGGGAGCAAACGGG